CCUACGGGUCGCACCAGUGGGGAAUAUUGCACAACGGGCGCAAGCCUGAUGCAGCCAUGCCGCGCGUGUGAAGAAGGCCUCCGGGUUGUAAAGCACUUUCAGCGGGGAGGAAGGCGAUAAGGUUAAUAACCUUGUCGAUUGACGUUACCCGCAGAAGAAGCACCGGCUAACUCCGUGCCAGCAGCCGCGGUAAUACGGAGGGUGCAAGCGUUAAUCGGAAUUACUGGGCGUAAAGCGCACGCAGGCGGUCUGUCAAGUCGGAUGUGAAAUCCCCGGGCUUAACCUGGGAACUGCAUUCGAAACUGGCAGGCUAGAGUCUUGUAGAGGGGGGUAGAAUUCCAGGUGUAGCGGUGAAAUGCGUAGAGAUCUGGAGGAAUACCGGUGGCGAAGGCGGCCCCCUGGACAAUGACUGACGCUCAGGUGCGAAAGCGUGGGGAGCAAACAGGAUUAGAUACCCCCGUAGUC
rnacentral:rRNA from 1 species